rnacentral:rRNA from 1 species
GAUGAACGCUGGCGGCGUGCCUAAUACAUGCAAGUCGAGCGAACAGACGAGGAGCUUGCUCCUCUGACGUUAGCGGCGGACGGGUGAGUAACACGUGGAUAACCUACCUAUAAGACUGGGAUAACUUCGGGAAACCGGAGCUAAUACCGGAUAAUAUAUUGAACCGCAUGGUUCAAUAGUGAAAGACGGUUUUGCUGUCACUUAUAGAUGGAUCCGCGCCGCAUUAGCUAGUUGGUAAGGUAACGGCUUACCAAGGCAACGAUGAGUAGCCGACCUGAGAGGGUGAUCGGCCACACUGGAACUGAGACACGGUCCAGACUCCUACGGGAGGAAGCAGUAGGGAAUCUUCCGCAAUGGGCGAAAGCCUGACGGAGCAACGCCGCGUGAAUGAUGAAGGUCUUCGGAUCGUAAAACUCUGUUAUUAGGGAAGAACAAAUGUGUAAGUAACUAUGCACGUCUUGACGGUACCUAAUCAGAAAGCCACGGCUAACUACGUG